CCUACGGGUGGCAGCAGUCGAGAAUCAUUCACAAUGGGGGAAACCCUGAUGGUGCGACGCCGCGUGGGGGAAUGAAGGUCUUCGGAUUGUAAACCCCUGUCAUGUGGGAGAAAAUUAAAAAGAUAGUAUCACAUGAGGAAGAGACGGCUAACUUUGUGCCAGCAGCUGCGGUAAUACAGAGGUGUCAAGCGUUGUACGGAUUCACUGGGCGUAAAGCGUGUGGAGGCUGUUUCGUAAGUCGUGUGUGAAAGGCGAGGGCUCAACCCGCGGACGGCACAUGAUACUGCGAGACUAGAGUAAUGGAGGGGGAACCGGAAUUCUCGGUGUAGCAGUGAAAUGCGUAGAUAUCGAGAGGAACACUCGUGGCGAAGGCGGGUUCCUGGACAUUAACUGACGCUGAGGCACGAAGGCCAGGGGAGCGAAAGGGAUUAGAUACCCUAGUAGUC
rnacentral:rRNA from 1 species